UUGGUUUAUGAUUUAUUUUGCAUGUACUAAUAAUAUGUGGCUUUUUCUUGUUGUGCAGGUUAUUUCUGUCCUGCAUUGGCCAAGGCUGUGAAGACAAUGAAGAAGGGAGAGAGAGUCAUCUUGACCGUGAAGCCAGAAUAUGCGUUUGGUGAGAAUGGAAGGCCAGCAUCAGGUGAUGAAGGUGCCGUGCCUCGGAAUGCUUCUCUGCAAA